rnacentral:antisense_RNA from 1 species
UUUGGCAUUCGGCUUACGCGCAAUAAUGCCGUUCCCUACCGCGUGUAACAGGUGGGUUUUACCCAGGCCCGUUCCGCCAUA